CUACGGGUGGCUGCAGUGGGGAAUCUUAGACAAUGGGGGCAACCCUGAUCUAGCCAUGCCGCGUGAGUGAUGAAGGCCUUAGGGUUGUAAAGCUCUUUCAGCUGGGAAGAUAAUGACGGUACCAGCAGAAGAAGCCCCGGCUAACUCCGUGCCAGCAGCCGCGGUAAUACGGAGGGGGCUAGCGUUGUUCGGAAUUACUGGGCGUAAAGCGCACGUAGGCGGACUGGAAAGUCAGAGGUGAAAUCCCAGGGCUCAAUCUUGGAACUGCCUCUGAAACUAUCAGUCUGGAGUUCGAGAGAGGUGAGUGGAAUUCCGAGUGUAGAGGUGAAAUUCGUAGAUAUUCGGAGGAACACCAGUGGCGAAGGCGGCUCACUGGCUCGAUACUGACGCUGAGGUGCGAAAGCGUGGGGAGCAAACAGGAUUAGAUACCCCAGUAGUC
rnacentral:rRNA from 1 species